ensembl:lncRNA
GGAGAGGAGGGCUGUGUGUGGUCACGUUGUGCGCUACGUGCUGAGAGCGCGAGCUGCUAGCCGCAGCCGGGCGACGUCAAAGCCGGGUGCGCGGCUCGGUCGCUUUCCUCCGCGCCUCCUCUGCCUCCUCUGCUCCUCCUCAGCUCUGCUUUCCUGUGUCAGCCCAGGAGCUCAUCAGUAUGGACAGCGCCGAGACGCUCCGCGAGCCCGGCGGCAUCCGGCCUCCAGCCUUCCCCGUGAGCCCCUCGCCCCCACCUCCCGGACCUGCGCGGCCGCGGAAGCCAGUUAUCAUUGCUGAUUCCGCUGUUGGCGUCUGCACGCCGAAAGGCCGGCUACCACCUUAGACCCCGGUAUAAGCAAGAUGUUCCAUCCUGGUCAGCAUGAGAGAGGCAGUGUAAUGGAGGGUGUCACAGUUUGACACAAAAUCCACUCAAGAUAGUGGGACAGAAAUGGGAAAAACUAAAAACUCAGGAGAAACAGGACCUGGUUCUUCUUCGGAGGGAACCCCAUCAAAGAUAGGAGGAAAGUCCCAGAGGGUAUAUGUGCAGCGCAUAUUAGGAGGGCAAUCAAUCAAUGCAUAUAGUACAAGUGCUAAUUUUUAGAAAUGGAUUCUAUCCAAGCAAACACUUCAACAAAAUACAGCUCCAAGCCACUGUUUCACUCAGUUACAACAGUGCUAGUUUUCCAUGUAAAAGUUUCAAGAAGUCAACAGUGUUGCUGAAUCAGCUAUCUGCCUUGUAUCAUUUUACUUCAUUUUGAAAAUCUUUUUAUUUUGAAAAUUUGAAAAUAUCUCACAAUUCUAAAUGUAGAAU